ACGCUCGACACCUACGGAAGGCAGCAGUGGGGAAUAUUGCACAAUGGGGGAAACCCUGAUGCAGCAACGCCGCGUGAAGGAAGAAGUAUCUCGGUAUGUAAACUUCUAUCAGCAGGGAAGAAAAUGACGGUACCUGACUAAGAAGCCCCGGCUAACUACGUGCCAGCACGCCGACGGUUAAUCGUGGACGGCGGGCGUGGACGAAGGC
rnacentral:rRNA from 1 species